AAUUUUGGACAAUGGGGGCAACCCUGAUCCAGCCAUCCCGCGUGUGCGAUGAAGGCCUUCGGGUUGUAAAGCACUUUUGGCAGGGAAGAAAUAGGUCUGGCUAAUAUCUGGACUGAAUGACGGUACCUGCAGAAUAAGCACCGGCUAACUACGUGCCAGCAGCCGCGGUAAUACGUAGGGUGCAAGCGUUAAUCGGAAUUACUGGGCGUAAAGCGUGCGCAGGCGGUUCGGAAAGAAGGAUGUGAAAUCCCAGGGCUUAACCUUGGAAUGGCAUUCUUAACUACCGGGCUAGAGUAUGUCAGAGGGGGGUAGAAUUCCACGUGUAGCAGUGAAAUGCGUAGAGAUGUGGAGGAAUACCGAUGGCGAAGGCAGCCCCCUGGGAUAAUACUGACGCUCAUGCACGAAAGCGUGGGGAGCAAACAGG
rnacentral:rRNA from 1 species